rnacentral:rRNA from 1 species
GUUCAACGGCCGCGGUAUCCUAACCGUGCGAAGGUAGCGUAAUCACUUGUUCUUUAAAUGAGGACUAGUAUGAACGGCACCACGAAGGUUAUACUGUCUCCUUUCUUUAAUCAGUGAAACUAAUCUCCCCGUGAAGAAGCGGGAAUAUAACUAUAAGACGAGAAGACCCUAUGGAGCUUUAAAUAUAGUAACAAAUGCUUACUUUAAUUUUUAUCCAAGGAGAUAAGCCAUAAUACUUAGGCAUUUUGAUUACAAAUUUUAGGUUGGGGCGACCGCGGAGUAAAAAAUAACCUCCACGGCGAAUGGAACCUGUUCCCUAAAUCAAGGACUACAACCCUAAGAAUCAAUAAAUUGACACCUAUUGACCCAAUAUUUUUGAUCAACGAACCAAGUUACCCUAGGGAUAACAGCGCAAUCCACUUCAAGAGCCCAUAUCGACAAGUGGGUUUACGACCUCGAUGUUGGAUCAGGGUAUCCCGGUGGUGCAGCCGCUACUAAAGGUUCGUUUGUUCAACGAUUAAAACCC